GUCUCUCCACCGCCGGACCCAUGUCCUAGUGCUCUCUCUCUCCGGGCGCCUCUCUCCAACCAGCAGUAGGCAUGUGAGCAUCUUGGGAAGCGGCAAGCCACCCUCCCUGGACUGACCUCCCCCAUCUCCACCGUCCAGCUCUCGAAGACACGCAGCGGCAGCGGCAAUGGUCGAUGCGGCUGAGGUAACAUAGAGGAGCACUGCUGGUAACAUUGAGCCGACAAAGAGAAGUUGUAGAAUAUUUGCUGCAACCACUAGGAUUCUUGCUGCCAACGACUCAGCUUCCAGCAGCGGUGCAGCGAUCCCCCUCCCGUGCUUGUCGCUGCAUCCUCCACCAGUUG